CCUACGGGAGGCAGCAGUGGGGAAUAUUGCACAAUGGGCGAAAGCCUGAUGCAGCAACGCCGCGUGAGCGAUGAAGGCCUUCGGGUCGUAAAGCUCUGUCCUCAAGGAAGAUAAUGCCGGUACUUAAGGAGGAAGCCCCGGCGAACUACUUGCCAGCAGCCGCGGUAAUACGUAGGGCGCUAGCGUUAUCCGGAAGUACUGGGCGGAAAGGUUGCGUAGACGGCAGUGCAAGUCUGGGGUGAAAGGCGGGGGCUCAACCACCGGACUGCUCUGGAAACUGGACGGCUGGAGUGCAUGAGAGGUAAGUGGAAUUCCUAGUGUAGCGGUGAAAUGCGUAGAUAUUAGGAGGAACACCAGUGGCGAAGGCGACUUACUGGACUGUAACUGACGUUGAGGAGCGAAAGCGUGGGGAGCAAACAGGAUUAGAUACCCCAGUAGUC
rnacentral:rRNA from 1 species